AUGGAGGCACAAAUGUCGAGUCCCUCAGCCUUCUCCUUGUCUGCUUCCAGCCACAGUGGUGCUGGUAAGCAGCAUCGUGUGCAGAGUACAGCUGCCUUGUGCAGAGAACGCAGCACUGCAAUGCACUUUUGUGCUGGAGGUGCUGACUUGCACGUGUGGGACAGCGCCUCUGUCAUUGUAUUGCAUUCAGCAGGUGGUGGCAGGGAACCACAGCGCUCUGGUGGUGUAACAGCUGCAGCCAGAAAGCUGUGGCUCUUCAUGAGAGCUGCGAGAAAUACAAAGCUUCAUCUCCUGGAACGCCCUGACUUUGCUGACUGGCUGCUGGUUGCCCAAACUGGGAAUCCUGUCUGUUCUUAGGGGGUGGUAGCUGUUUGUACCUGGAAGCUGCUUCCUUCACUUCAGAGUGUAGCAUGAUGGGGUUUAAGGAUUACCUGUGCUCCUCCAAUCAGCGGUGUGAGAUCUGUGCGGCAGGUAACGAACACUAUGAGCUCCAUGUUGGUGCACUGCUUGUAUGCAGGUAGGUUUGCGAUGCGGUCUGACUCCCCCACAGUGAACAUCCACAGCUGGAUCAGGUUGCUCAGAGUCUGACCCAGCCUUGCCUUGAAAGAGGCAGCGCAUCCACCACGUCUCUGGCAACCUGUUCCACUGCCUCGCCACCCUCACUGUGGAAGACAUUUUCUUUAGAUUUAACCUCAAUUUUCCCUUGUUCUUUCCUUUAGCUAUUGAAAGGCUGUUACCAGGUCACCUUGGAGCCUUCACUUUUCCAGGCUGAACAGCCCAGCUCUCCCUUCUUAUAGCAGAGGUGUUCCAUCCUUCGGUUCAUGUUUGUGGCUGUACUCUAGAUGUGCUCCCACUGCUCCAUGUGUCCCUGCACUGAGGACCCCAUGUCUGGGUGCAGCACUGCAGGUGAGGCCUGACCAGCGCAGAGCGGAGGGGGGGGGACCGCCUCCCUUUGCCUGUUGACCACCAAUCUUUGGAUGCAGCUCAAGAUAUAUUUGGUUUUCUGGGCUGGAAGGGCCCAUUGCUGGCUCGUGUCCAGCUCCCACCCACCAGUACCCUAGGCCCUAUGGGGCAGGACUGCGCUCAGUCCUUACAUCCCCCAGCAUGUUUUGGUGGUGGGCGUUCCCUCAUCCCAGCUGCUGACCCUGCACUUGGAUUUGUGCCCACUCCUCAGCGCAUUGAUGUCCCUCUGGAUGGUGGGAGGUCCCUCCCUCUGUUGUGUCACUGCACCCCACAGCUCAGUGUCAUUAGGGUGCACUCAACCCUUCUGUUCAUGUCACUGAUGAAGGGGCAAUCCCAGAUGUUUGUAUGAACUGGGUGUAGAACCCCCUUGAGAGCAGCCCUGUAGAGAAGGACUCGGGGAUCCUGGUGGAUGAGAAGCCAGACAUGAGCCAGCAGUGUGUGCUUGCAGCCUGGAAGGCCAACUGUGUUCUGGGCUGCAUUAAAAGAGGAGUGGCCAGCAGGGAGAGGGAGGUGAUCGUCCCCCUCUGCUCAGCUCUUGUAAGGCCCCAUCUGCAGCACUGCGUCCAGGCCUGGGGCCCCAGCACAGGAAGGAUGUGGAGCUUUUGGAGCAGGUCCAGGAAAGGGCCACUAAGAUGAUCAGAGUGCUGGAGCACUUCUCCUAUGAAGAAAGUUUGAGGGAAGUGGGAUUGUUUUUCUUGGAGAAGAGAAAGCUUUGGAGAGACCUCAUCACAGCCUUCCAAUACUCAAAGGGAGCACAUAAGCAGUAGGGAGGAUGGCUGUUUCUGAGGGUGGAUAGCGAUACAACAAGGGGAAUGGUUUUAAACGGUGACAGGGGUUGUUUAGGUUUGUUAUUAGGAGGAAGCUUUUCGUACAGAGGGUGCUGACUCACUGGAACAUGAGCUUUAGAGUCACUUCCAGGAGGAUCUGCUCCGUGAUUGCUCCCAGCACAGAGGUGAGACUGACAUGGUGGUAGUUCCCAGGGUCACACUUAUUAUCCUUAAUAACAGGUGUGCUGUGACCUUUUUACUAGUUAUCAGGGACUUCACCUGACUGCCUCGAGUUGUGAAAUACCACUGAGAGUGGCUCAGUGACUGCAGUGGUGAAUUGUCUUGGAAUUGUGGGAGUCAUCUUGUCAGGACCCAAAUGUUCGGGUCCUCAGGUGGUCUAGAACCUGAUCUCCCAUCAAAGAGUGGGAUGGGCAGGCGUCUGGGGGACUGGCAUUGCUUCCUCAAUCCCCACCUACCAAACCA
ensembl:lncRNA